rnacentral:misc_RNA from 1 species
GAUGAAGAACGUAGCGAAAUGCGAUAAGUAAUGUGAAUUGCAGAAUUCAGUGAAUCAUCGAAUCUUUGAACGCAUAUUGCGCCCUCUGGUAUUCCGGGGGGCAUGCCUGUUCGAGCGUCAUUAUAACCACUCAAGCUCUCGCUUGGUAUUGGGGUUCGCGGUUCCGCGGCCCCUAAAAUCAGUGGCGGUGCCUGUCGGCUCUACGCGUAGUAAUACUCCUCGCGUCUGGGUCCGGUAGGUCUACUUGCCAGCAACCCCCAAUUUUUACAGGUUGACCUCGGAUCAGGUAGGGAUACCCGCUGAACUUAAGCAUAUCAAUAAGCGGAGGA